rnacentral:rRNA from 1 species
UACGUAUGGUGCAAGCGUUAUCCGGAUUUACUGGGUGUAAAGGGAGCGCAGGCGGCGCGUUAAGUCUGAUGUGAAAACCCGCGGCUCAACUGCGGGACUGCAUUGGAAACUGGCAGUCUUGAGUGGGCGAGAAGUAUGCGGAAUGCGUGGUGUAGCGGUGAAAUGCAUAGAUAUCACGCAGAACCCCGAUUGCGAAGGCAGCAUACCGGCGCCCUACUGACGCUCAUGCACGAAAGCGUGGGUAUCGAACAGG